rnacentral:other from 1 species
AUAGAUCUGAUGUGUUCGAGAAAUAUUUACUGUGUUGACCGAACAUUUUAAUGAAGGGAUCCUAUAAUCGAAGGAUAAUGACAAGCCAUCGCACGUGGAAGUCAGAACAUUUCGUGGGGAACCCACCUGAUAGCUAGCGGGUUCAACCUAGCUUUAUUGAUACGGCACAAUUCGGAGAUAUU